rnacentral:rRNA from 1 species
UACGGAGGGUGCAAGCGUUAUCCGGAUUCACUGGGUUUAAAGGGUGCGUAGGUGGGCAGGUAAGUCAGUGGUGAAAUCUCCGGGCUUAACCCGGAAACUGCCAUUGAUACUAUUUGUCUCGAAUACCGUGGAGGUCAGCGGAAUAUGUCAUGUAGCGGUGAAAUGCUUAGAUAUGACAUAGAACACCAAUUGCGAAGGCAGCUGGCUACACGAAUAUUGACACUGAUGCACGAAAGCGUGGGGAUCAAACAGG